CCUCCCGGGUCCACCCAGCUGCGCGCGGUGGGGAGUGGGGGGCGCGAGCCCCCUCUUGGCGCUGACACCUGCACGCAAGGGGCCUGAAGACCCUCGGAUCCGCGCCAAGCCCUUGAGGGUCCGUGCACGGGGGCCUGGAGAAGAAUAGGGAAUGUGUAAGCCGGGGCAUUUAAAAGCGGCUUUAUUGUGGUGUGGUUGGUAUACAAGAAACCACACAUCUAAACUUGGUGAGAAUAACAACCUUACAGUGGAGAAACCACCUGACUCUGUGACCAAGGUUAAAUCCUCAGUAAUAAGACAGACAGCCAUCAUGUAGCCUCUUGAUGCGAUGGACUGAGAGAGACUCAGCAUCAGUUUGUGGUGUUCUUGCCCCAAAUGCACAAUCUGCCAUCGUGAGAACACUCCAGACUCACAUCGAAAGACGGCUACAAAGGACUGAUCAGUACGCUCCAAAAAUGAAGAAGGAGGUCGUAAAAGACAAGAAAGGCCUGAGUCACUGUUACGGACUGGAAAAGACGAAGGAGAAAUAGCUAAAUGCAGUGUGGGCCCUCGAAUAGACAAGGACGUUGGUGGAAAAACGAGUGACACUGACUAAGGCCGGUUGUUCCGGGUCGUGCUUUCCCGCGGAUGACGUCCUGCUUCAAAGCUCGUGUGAAGGGAUAAUUGGGGCAGUUGGGCGCCAGUCUGUCUGCCUCUCUUUCUUCCCCUUUGAUCCCGUGUCCUCUUUUCCUGACUUCCCUUGCAUUGAACAUUUUUUGGUCCAUUUUC